rnacentral:rRNA from 1 species
UACGUAGGGGGCAAGCGUUGUCCGGAUUUAUUGGGCGUAAAGAGCGUGUAGGCGGCCGUACAGGUCAGCUGUGAAAACUCGAGGCUCAACCUCGAGACGUCGGUUGAAACCGUACGGCUAGAGUCCGGAAGAGGAGAGUGGAAUUCCCGGUGUAGCGGUGAAAUGCGCAGAUAUCGGGAAGAACACCCGUGGCGAAGGCGGCUCUCUGGGACGGUACUGACGCUGAGACGCGAAAGCAUGGGGAGCGAACAGG